rnacentral:lncRNA from 10 species
UCAUUUUAUAUAUUAAUACUGUAUAUGUUAAUAUGCAUUAUUUUGUCUUGUCUGUUAAUUGGAAUUGUUAUAUAUAGUAUACAGUAUAUAAUGUUAUUUUUUAUAUUUAAUAUAUAUUUAAUAUUAACAUUUUUAGUAUAUAAUUAAUCUAUAAUAUACAUUUAUGUAUAUGAAUUCAAAGCACCUCACAUAAGAUUUUCUGUUCAGUUGAGCAAUAUGUAAUUUUGUGAAUUAUUACUUUUUUUCUACUUUUUAAUGGACAAUACCACCCCACUUUUAUUCGCUGUGACUUGCAAGAAAGAGAAAAUGGUGGAAUUUUUAUUGAAGAAGCCAAUACACAUGCCGUUGAUAGGCUGAGAUGACGGAGUCUCACUCCGUUGCCAGCCUGGAGUGCGUUGGUGUGAUCUCGGCUCACUGCAUCCUCCACGUCCCAGGUUCGAGCGAUUCUCCUGCCUCAACCUCCCACGUAGCUGGGACUACAGAUUCCACUUCUGCAAGGCUCCACAGAAGUCUCCAACCUUCAAAUCUUCAGUCUCCGAAAGCACCGAUUCCUGAAAGGAUGGCCUCAAAUGACCAAGUAUACGAGCCGUCUAUAUCCCUGCUCCUGAAAAACAAGCUAACUGGACUCUCCAUCACCUUCCCCCAGCACAGACGCACUACCAGCUACGCAGCUGAACUCCAUGACUGA